rnacentral:rRNA from 1 species
AAUACAUGMAGUCGAGCGGAUUKAAGGGAGCUUGCUCCUGAUAUUAGCGGCGGACGGGUGAGUAACACGUGGGCAACCUGCCCUGMRGAUGGGGAUAACUCCGGGAAACCGGGGCUAAUACCGAAUAAUCGGUUCUUCCGCAUGGAAGAACUCUGAAAGACGGUUUCGGCUGUCACUGCAGGAUGGGCCCGCGGCGCAUUAGCUAGUUGGUGGGGUAACGGCCUACCAAGGCGACGAUGCGUAGCCGACCUGAGAGGGUGAUCGGCCACACUGGGACUGAGACACGGCCCAGACUCCUACGGGAGGCAGCAGUAGGGAAUCUUCCACAAUGGACGAAAGUCUGAUGGAGCAACGCCGCGUGAGCRAAGAAGGUUUUCGGAUCGUAAAGCUCUGUUGCGAGGGAAGAACAAGUACGAGAGUAACUGCUCGUACCUUGACGGUACCUCGUUAGAAAGCCACGGCUAACUACGUGCCAGCAGCC